rnacentral:rRNA from 2 species
GUAGUCAUAUGCUUGUCUCAAAGAUUAAGCCAUGCAUGUCUAAGUAUAAGCAAUUAUACCGUGAAACUGCGAAUGGCUCAUUAAAUCAGUUAUCGUUUAUUUGAUAGUACCUUACUACUUGGAUAACCGUGGUAAUUCUAGAGCUAAUACAUGCUGAAAACCCCAACUUCGGGAGGGGUGUAUUUAUUAGAUAAAAAACCAACGCCCUUCGGGGCUUCUUGGUGAUUCAUGAUAACUUCACGGAUCGCAUGGCCUUGCGCCGGCGACGGUUCAUUCAAAUUUCUGCCCUAUCAACUUUCGAUGGUAAGGUAUUGGCUUACCAUGGUUUCAACGGGUAACGGGGAAUUAGGGUUCGAUUCCGGAGAGGGAGCCUGAGAAACGGCUACCACAUCCAAGGAAGGCAGCAGGCGCGCAAAUUACCCAAUCCCGACACGGGGAGGUAGUGACAAUAAAUACUGAUACAGGGCUCUUUUGGGUCUUGUAAUUGGAAUGAGUACAAUUUAAACCUCUUAACGAGGAACAAUUGGAGGGCAAGUCUGGUGCCAGCAGCCGCGGUAAUUCCAGCUCCAAUAGCGUAUAUUAAAGUUGUUGCAGUUAAAAAGCUCGUAGUUGAAACUUGGGUCUGGCUGGCAGGUCCGCCUCACCGCGUGUACUUGUCCGGCCGGGCCUUUCCUUCUGGAGAACCUCAUGCCCUUCACUGGGCGUGUUGGGGAACCAGGACUUUUACUUUGAAAAAAUUAGAGUGUUCAAAGCAGGCCUUUGCUCGAAUACGUUAGCAUGGAAUAAUAGAAUAGGACGUGCGGUCCUAUUUUGUUGGUUUCUAGGACCGCCGUAAUGAUUAAUAGGGACAGUCGGGGGCAUCAGUAUUCAAUUGUCAGAGGUGAAAUUCUUGGAUUUAUUGAAGACUAACUACUGCGAAAGCAUUUGCCAAGGAUGUUUUCAUUAAUCAGUGAACGAAAGUUAGGGGAUCGAAGACGAUCAGAUACCGUCGUAGUCUUAACCGUAAACUAUGCCGACUAGGGAUCGGGCGAUGUUCUUUUUCUGACUCGCUCGGCACCUUACGAGAAAUCAAAGUUUUUGGGUUCUGGGGGGAGUAUGGUCGCAAGGCUGAAACUUAAAGGAAUUGACGGAAG